rnacentral:lncRNA from 1 species
GCACAUUGGUGGCUUGCUGCCUCCCCCGGUCCUGGAUUCGCUUGGUACGAGUGCCAUUUGGAUCUACUAAAGCGUGUAAGCUGUAAAAUAGAACCUGCUCUGAUACCAAUUGUUAGUUCCUAGUAGGCACAAGUUAUCUAGAAGGGGGGGUUGAAUAGAUAUUUGAAAAUCUUUUCGUUUUAACUUGUUCUUAGAUAAUGAUUAAAACUUUGCGGAAUUAGUAUUUGUUUUAAUCUUCUUUACCAAGCAAUGGAGUUAUGAGCGAGUAAGGCAGUUAUAGCAGAUAUAGCAGUUAUAGCAGUUAUAGCAUGAAUGUAAACGACACAGUUGUUUUUAAGUGGUUCAGAGCACUCAAAGCUCCUAGUCCACUCUUCUACUCAACGAGUAGGAUAUCCACUAAGGAUGUCUUUUACAAUCUUCUGAAUCACACAGAUUCCUUCUAGACCAGCAGUCUAGGAACUUCUCUAGUUCACUCUUGAACUCUUCAAGUCCAGCAGACUUGGCUUUCUUACAGUUCACUACGAACUCUUCAAGUCCAGCAGACUUGGUACUCUUCUUCAGUUGAUUGAUGGUUGUUGUUGUUGCGUUCUGAAGGUUGCUACUCAGUUUGCUGUGUAAGCACUGGUUCGUUAAGAACUGAGUAGCUGAGCAAGCUUUUCAAUAUCUCAGAUCGUAGAGUUGAGCCUUAGAGAAUUCUUCACGUUGAAUGUGUGAUUGCUUGCUUGUUUUUUUCUUUCAUCUGUCUGAUCUGUAUAUAUGUGAUGUUGAAAACUAUCCGUUGGAUCCAUCCGUUGUGGCCAUAGUUAUCAAGGCGACAAGUCGAGGCGAGUCGACAGCCGGGAGCUUAAGCGCUUAGGCGACAAGGCGCCCGACUAGUCGUCCACAAGUCGACAAGUCGUUAACAAUGUAAAUUUUAUACGUAUAAAAUUCUAUAUAUUUAACAUUUAUAUGAAUAUUUAUAUAUUAAUAUUUCUAGUGAAUUACCAUAUUCAUAAUGCAGGUUGUAGCAUAUCAAAUCACAACAAGAAGCGAACAAGAUCAAGUCAAAAUGAUAAUUUUACUAUAGUUGUAAUUUUUUGAACUUGUACUAUAAAUGGUGAUACAUUUGUAAUAUUUAGUUUAAUUCAAUAUAAUUCUUAAAUUUAUGCUUAGUUUCUUCCCAUUUUAACAUUGUAUAUAUAGAAUACCAUAAAUUGAAAUACUAAGAAUUCAAUAAUUUAUGAUAAAACAAGUAAACAAGUAUUGUUAAGAUAAAGGUAUAUACAAGCAUAUGAUCAUGAUAUCAUAUCAUAAAAUUAGACAACCAUCCUUUAUAAGAUAAAGACAUGUUCAUUGUGACAUUGCCAAAAACAAACAUAAUAUAGAAAUGAAAACAAAGUCAUAAAAAUUCAAUAUUCUUUAACUCAAAAUUCUCAUUUUUCAUAAUGAAAAUAUCAAUCAAGUUAUCAAACAAAAUCAUCAAAGAUCAAAUCAUCAUCAUCUCUCCCAGCAGUGGCAUCAUCACUCGAAACAGUAGCUACUCUUCGGCCAUAAUCAUCAUCAACAUCCUCAUCAUCAUUAGGAAGGCUCUCCUCCUCUUCUCCAACAUCAGAAUCAACUUCAUUCACAAUCACAGCUCUUGAAGUCGAAGCAUUACCACGCCGUGAGUAGAAUAGACCCGUCCUACGAGGAAGAUUGCGUCCCUCGACGGCAUCAGAUGCACCAACAGCUCUAUCAACAUCCUCCCACGUAAGAUCAUCUCCAUCAUGAACUAUAUCUUGUUUGGGCACUAUCCACUCAUUACCCCAAUCAAAGUCAUCUAGGACUAAUGGAUCGAAGUUUCUUCCAAGUUCGCGCCUCCUUUGGAACCUAUCAACAAUUCGGCGAUUGUAUUGGACAUGCACCAAAUCAUUUAAUCGUUGAUGCUCCAACCUAUUUCUCUUCUUCGUAUGAAUCUGAAAUUUUUGUUUAAAAAUAUUAAGCAAAAAGAAUAUAUAAAAUAUUUAUACAUUUAGUUAUGUACUAAUUGCUUACAAACUCGAAAUUGCUCCAAUUGCGUUCACAACCGGAAGAAGAACAACAAAGGCCGAGGAUUCGCUUUGCAAACUUUGUAAACUCAAUAGCACAACCGCCAAAAGCAUUCCACCAAUCAACUACAUUAGAUGUAAAAAAUUAAAAAAAUCAAAUAUAGUCUUAAUUAUUAAACUUAAAAGAAAAAUUUAUCGUUUCUCCCUCUCGUUUCUCCCUCUCGAUUCUCGAAUUGUCGUCGAAGGAAAAGGAACUGUCGAAGAAGGAAAAAGAUAACUGAAGUACAAAUUUGUUGAAGGAACUGUCGAGCAGCUCGAACUGUCGUCGAAACUCGAAGGAAAUGGGUUUGUCGUCGAACUGUCGAACAGACAAUAAGAAGGAAAAGGUUCGAUUUGCUGCAGUCCCUCCUCUUUGGAAGUUCUCCCUCUCGUAUCACUGUCGAUUGUCGAAGUUCUCCCUCUCGUUUCUGAUUUCUCCCUCUCGAACUAUCGAAGAAUGAAAAGUUCGAAUGAAAAGAAACUGUCAAUCGAUUGUCGAAGAAGGAAAAAAACGAGCAGAUCGAUUUAGGUUUUUGAAUUGGGUCGGGUCAAACCCGCUUUGGAAAGUCGCCCGCUUUGCUAGAUAGUCGUCCAAGUCGUCUGCUGAGCGUCCAAGUCGUCUAAGGCGAGGCCUGAGCGGUCGACUACGUGCUCUUCAACCAAGUCGGUAGGACGCCUUGUUUUUUCUGGUCGACUCGACGCCUAGUCGUCGCCUAGGCGACGACUAGUCGACGACUUGACAACAAUGGUUGUGGCAUUAAAUGCUUCUGAACUUUCUGUGCUGCGAUGGAGACAUUUCUGCACAUCUCUGAAUUCUGCAUUCUGCAUUCUGGCUCACUGACACUGCAGGCUGCUUUCUCACCUACCACCUGAAAAGGUGUUUUGUCCCUCUUAUCCAUAGUACUAUCCUUGGCUUCUUAAAUACGCUUCUUUGUUGCAUACUAAGGAUAUUUCAUAUAUUCUGGGACUGAUGAGCACUGCAGCAUCUGAGAUCCAUUCCUCGUAUGUUGAAUUAACAACUCAUGAGGCUUGACGUUUUCUGACAUGAGACAGAUGAUGCUCUACGAUUGGAUCGUGAUGUUCUACGGUUAAGAUCGUAGUGGCUUUGACUUGCAUACUACGAUAUUAUCAAUCGAGAACACUACGAUUUCUCUUAAACUUUCAUGCACUACGAUCUUCUCUUGCUCGUGUUGUUGACUCUACGUUCCCGAGAGCACACUACGAUCGUUGACUUAUAAACUUCACGUUUCCUUCAGCACACUACGAUCGUGGAGUUAGCUUGGUGAACGUUGGGACCACUCUACGAUUUCCGAAGAGUCCCCUUUCAAGGCAGGCACACUACGAUCUUCAGGCUCUACGUUUUCUGCCUUGACUUCUGCAAUGUUGAUCAGAUUGAUGCACUACGAUUUCUUCAAGACUAAUCUAUUACAUCUCAAGAUCAACCUAACAGUUUUGAUCUUUCUAUCUAUACAUUCUAGAACAGAAUGAUACACGUUGAAAGCUUAGAUCAACCUAACAAUUUUGAUCUAUCACCAAGUCCUUGUACAUAUAUUCUUUAAAGGACCUUACAAAUAAUCAUAAACACAUGCAUUAAAACAUCAAAUCAUAAUAUGCAUUCUCCCAACACAUAUUAUUAAGUGCAAAUGAUUAGUAAACUAUUUAGUAGUACUAACAGUCAUGCAUAAAUAUUGGAGCAAAGAAUAUAAUAUAAUUAAUAGAAAUAUAGCAUAGUAGUACUAAUUUAACUAUAAUUAAUAAAUUCAGAAUCAUGAUUUUCCAUUUUGAUUAAUUUCUUUCUUGAUCAGUGAAAAUGAAUGAUAUGGGAAACAAACAAAAAAGUAACAGACCAGUCGGCAGUAAAAAAAAAAAAAAAAAAAGCAACAGAGCACAUAUAGGAGCAACAGGGAAAACUUUUCGUUAGUCUCGAGAAACAGAGCAGUCGGCACUCGGCACAACAGAGAAGGUCAGAAGAAAGGGGAAAGAAAAAAGAAGGAAUACCUACCGAAACUAAGCGACGGGAGUCGCGAGCUUAGCGCCUUAGCCGGGAAUGGAGCACGGGAGGGAGGGAGUCGAAGGCUGCGAGGCUGAAGCUGCGACUGAAAAUCGAGCGAUGAUCGAAGUUCAUGGGUUACGCUGACAAAGAUGUCGAGUGACGAUGACGAAGAUGGUGUCUAGUGACGAAGAAGGUCUUCGAUGUCGAGUGACGAUGAUCGAAGUUCAGCGUAAGGGCUUUCUCCUUUUCUCCUCUUUUUUUCGAUGGGUCAUGGGUUACGCUCGCCUUAGCAGCUCUCUCCCAAGUCGUCGCUCUCCUUCUCUUCUCCCAAGCGCCUGGACGCGCAAGUGGAAAACUCACUUGUGCACACCCGCAUAAUAGA